rnacentral:rRNA from 1 species
UACGGAGGGGGCUAGCGUUGUUCGGAAUUACUGGGCGUAAAGCGCACGUAGGCGGCUUUGUAAGUUAGAGGUGAAAGCCCGGGGCUCAACUCCGGAAUUGCCUUUAAGACUGCAUCGCUAGAAUUGUGGAGAGGUAAGUGGAAUUCCGAGUGUAGAGGUGAAAUUCGUAGAUAUUCGGAAGAACACCAGUGGCGGAGGCGGACUUACUGGACACAUAUUGACGCUGAGGUGCGAAAGCGUGGGGAGCAAACAGG